rnacentral:rRNA from 1 species
UACGAGGGGGGCGAGCGUUGUUCGGAAUUAUUGGGCGUAAAGGGUGCGUAGGCGGUUCCGCAAGUCCUGUGUGAAAUCUUCGGGCUCAACUCGAAGUCUGCACGGGAAACUGCGGGGCUUGAGUGUGGGAGAGGUGAGUGGAAUUCCCGGUGUAGCGGUGAAAUGCGUAGAUAUCAGGAGGAACACCGAUGGCGAAGGCAGGUCUCUGGGCAUUAACUGACGCUGAGGAGCGAAAGCAUGGGGAGCGAACAGG